rnacentral:rRNA from 1 species
AACGAACGCUGGCGGCAGGCCUAACACAUGCAAGUCGAACGCCCUAGCAAUAGGGAGUGGCAGACGGGUGAGUAACACGUGGGAACCUUCCCUAUAGUACGGAAUAGCCCAGGGAAACUUGGAGUAAUACCGUAUACGCCCGAGAGGGGAAAGAUUUAUCGCUAUAGGAUGGGCCCGCGUCGGAUUAGCUAGUUGGUGAGGUAAUGGCUCACCAAGGCAACGAUCCGUAGCUGGUUUGAGAGAAUGACCAGCCACACUGGGACUGAGACACGGCCCAGACUCCUACGGGAGGCAGCAGUGGGGAAUCUUGGACAAUGGGCGCAAGCCUGAUCCAGCCAUGCCGCGUGAGUGAUGAAGGCCUUAGGGUUGUAAAGCUCUUUUGUCGGGGACGAUAAUGACGGUACCCGAAGAAUAAGUCCCGGCUAACUUCGUGCCAGCCGCCGCCGUAACAC